CUCGUAGGCGGUUCGUCGCGUCCGGUGUGAAAGUCCAUCGCUUAACGGUGGAUCUGCGCCGGGUUACGGGCGGGCUGGAGUGCGGUAGGGGAGACUGGAAUUCCCGGUGUAACGGUGGAAUGUGUAGAUAUCGGGAAGAACACCAAUGGCGAAGGCAGGUCUCUGGGCCGUUACUGACGCUGAGGAGCGAAAGCGUGGGGAGCGAACA
rnacentral:rRNA from 1 species